rnacentral:rRNA from 1 species
GACGAACGCUGGCGGCGUGCUUAACACAUGCAAGUCGAACGGAAAGGCCCUGCUUUUGUGGGGUGCUCGAGUGGCGAACGGGUGAGUAACACGUGAGUAACCUGCCCUUGACUUUGGGAUAACUUCAGGAAACUGGGGCUAAUACCGGAUAGGAGCUCCUGCUGCAUGGUGGGGCUUGGAAAGUUUCGGCGGUUGGGGAUGGACUCGCGGCUUAUCAGCUUGUUGGUGGGGUAGUGGCUUACCAAGGCUUUGACGGGUAGCCGGCCUGAGAGGGUGACCGGCCACGUGGCGACUGAGAUACGGCACGGACUACUGGGGGAGACAGGACAGGGGAAUAGUGCACGAUGGAGGGAAGCCUAAUGCAGCAAGGCCGCGUGGGGGAUGGCGAACUUCGGUUUUUAGGCGCCUUAGGCCGGUAACGAACCGUCAGUGCAGGUAACGGAUAAAGAAGCACCGGCUAAUUACGUG